rnacentral:rRNA from 1 species
UCUCGUUCUCAUUGCGAGAUGAGGCGCACCUAGAGCGUACACGUUGGGKARVACCCGAAAGAUGGUGAACUAUGCCUGGUCAGGACGAAGUCAGGGGAAACCCUGAUGGAGGUCCGUAGCGAUUCUGACGUGCAAAUCGAUCGUCGGAGCUGGGUAUAGGGGCGAAAGACUAAUCGAACCAUCUAGUAGCUGGUUCCCUCCGAAGUUUCCCUCAGGAUAGCUGGCACUCUAUGAACAAAGAUUAAGAGGUUAGUCUCAUAUGGUAAAGCGAAUGAUUAGAGGCCUUGGGGCCGAAACGACCUCAACCUAUUCUCAAACUUUAAAUGU